rnacentral:rRNA from 1 species
GAAAGUAGUAAAGGGCUCAUGGCGGAUGCCUUGGCUCAUGGAGGCGAUGAAGGACGUGAUAAGCUGCGAUAAGCCCGGGGUAGGUGCAAAUGACCUCUGAUCCCGGGAUUUCCGAAUGGGACAACCCGGCUGUCUGAAGGACAG